rnacentral:rRNA from 1 species
UUCGGCCUUAGUGGCGCACGGGUGCGUAACGCGUGGGAAUCUGCCCCUCGGUUCGGAAUAACAGCGAGAAAUUGCUGCUAAUACCGGAUGAUGACUUCGGUCCAAAGAUUUAUCGCCGAGGGAUGAGCCCGCGUAAGAUUAGCUAGUUGGUGGGGUAAUGGCCUACCAAGGCGACGAUCUUUAGCUGGUCUGAGAGGAUGAUCAGCCACACUGGGACUGAGACACGGCCCAGACUCCUACGGGAGGCAGCAGUGGGGAAUAUUGGACAAUGGGCGCAAGCCUGAUCCAGCCAUGCCGCGUGGGUGAUGAAGGCCCUAGGG